UUUCUUUUGUUCGGAACUCGAAGAUUCGUCCGUUUUCGAUGUUUGGUCAGCGUUGGAACUUUCGCGUUCCGAAGCCAUCUGCAAAAACGAAAUUAUCGAUAAAUUAGAUGAUUCUGACGAUCGAAUCAACCGAAUGAAAUUACCUUUUUGUAUGCCAUUUCGAAUAGUUUCAGUGACGAUUGCUGCAGUGUGCUUGUGGCUUUUCGGAUUUCUUCUGGAUCGACGGCAUCUUUGUUGGCUAAGACUUCGCGAACUUUAGCAA